rnacentral:rRNA from 1 species
CUACGGGUGGCUGCAGUGGGGAAUAUUGCACAAUGGGCGCAAGCCUGAUGCAGCCAUGCCGCGUGUAUGAAGAAGGCCUUCGGGUUGUAAAGUACUUUCAGCGGGGAGGAAGGGAGUAAAGUUAAUACCUUUGCUCAUUGACGUUACCCGCAGAAGAAGCACCGGCUAACUCCGUGCCAGCAGCCGCGGUAAUACGGAGGGUGCAAGCGUUAAUCGGAAUUACUGGGCGUAAAGCGCACGCAGGCGGUUUGUUAAGUCAGAUGUGAAAUCCCCGGGCUCAACCUGGGAACUGCAUCUGAUACGGGCAAGCUCGAGUCUCGUAGAGGGGGGUAGAAUUCCAGGUGUAGCGGUGAAAUGCGUAGAGAUCUGGAGGAAUACCGGUGGCGAAGGCGGCCCCCUGGACGAAGACUGACGCUCAGGUGCGAAAGCGUGGGGAGCAAACAGGAUUAGAUACCCGUGUAGUC